UACGUAGGCAGCGAGCGUUGUUCGGAGUUACUGGGCGUAAAGAGUGCGUAGGCGGUUUUCUAAGUUUGGUGUGAAAUCUCCCCGGCUUAACUGGGAGGGUGCGCCGAAGACUGGAAGGCUUGAGUAUGGGAGAGGUAAGCGGAAUUCCUGGUGUAGCGGUGAAAUGCGUAGAUAUCAGGAGGAACACCUGCGGUGUAGACGGCUUACUGGACCAUAACUGACGCUGAGGCACGAAAGCGUGGGUAGCAAACAGG
rnacentral:rRNA from 1 species